AGUGAACGCUGGCGGUAGGCCUAACACAUGCAAGUCGAACGGCAGCACAGUAAGAGCUUGCUCUUACGGGUGGCGAGUGGCGGACGGGUGAGGAAUACAUCGGAAUCUACUUUUUCGCGGGGGAUAACGUAGGGAAACUUACGCUAAUACCGCAUACGACCUACGGGUGAAAGCAGGGGAUCUUCGGACCUUGCGCGAUUGAAUGAGCCGAUGUCGGAUUGGCUAGUUGGCGGGGUAAAGGCCCACCAAGGCGACGAUCCGUAGCUGGUCUGAGAGGAUGAUCAGCCACACUGGAACUGAGACACGGUCCAGACUCCUACGGGAGGCAGCAGUGGGGAAUAUUGGACAAUGGGCGCAAGCCUGAUCCAGCCAUACCGCGUGGGUGAAGAAGGCCUUCGGGUUGUAAAGCCCUUUUGUUGGGAAAGAAAAGCAGCAGGUUAAUACCCCGCUGUUCUGACGGUACCCAAAGAAUAAGCACCGGCUAACUUCGUG
rnacentral:rRNA from 1 species